rnacentral:rRNA from 1 species
UACGAAGGGUGCAAGCGUUACUCGGAAUUACUGGGCGUAAAGCGCGCGUAGGCGGGUUGGUAAGUCCGCUGUGAAAGCCCGGAGCUCAACUCCGGAGGGUCGGUGGAUACUGCCAGUCUUGAAGGUGCUAGGGGGAGAUGGAAUUACCGGUGUAGCGGUGAAAUGCGUAGAGAUCGGUAGGAGCACCAGUGGCGAAGGCGGUCUCCUGGGGCAUUCUUGACGCUGAGGCGCGAAAGCUGGGGGAGCGAACGGG